GAUGAUGACGUUUAUCAAGUGUAGGUCAUUGUGUGCCAUAUAGGUUGGUUGUCCUCAUAAUCAAGAAGUGUGAAGACACUGAUAUGGCAUAUAGAUGAGAUAUAGGAGUACAUCAUCAUUGAACAAGUGACUCACCUUCGGAGCGCUCUACUGUCAAAAGUAACUCAUGAAGUGUAUGGACAUAAGUAUCCUUCAGACCCA
rnacentral:lncRNA from 1 species